ensembl:lncRNA
CUGUCACCCAGGGCCACCCACGGCCCAGCCUAGUUUGGUCCUGAGGUCCUCUCUGGGUCCGUCAGCUGAUGGCUGAUGUCUUAUUAAAAGCUGUUCCAUGAAUACUCACAAGAGACACUUGGUCUGGAAUUUUCCUUCCUUGUAUAACGUCUUAUUUGAAAGCCUCCACAGUGUUUCUGAGCCCAUAAAUGAUUAACCUUGUUUUUUUUUUUCUUUGAGAAUGGGUCUCGCUAUGUAGCUCAGGCUGACCUCAAACUUGCAGCGAUCCUCCUGCCUCAGCCUCCAAGUGCUGGGAUGACAAGUGUGUUUUUUUCGGCUGACUUUUUUUUUUUUUUGGUACCAGGGAUUGAACUCAGGUCCUUGCACUUGUGCAGCAGGUGGCGAAACCACUGAGCUAAAUCCCCGGGCUUCGGCUGACCUUUUUAAAAAGUUUGAUGCCUGAUCAUAUUCCAUGAAACCUUUGAAUACUUUUUUUUGGGUACCAGGUAUCAAACUCAGGACCUUGGCUUUUGAAGCAGGAAGCAGCACCACUGAGCUACAUUCCUGGCCCAAACCUUUAAAUACUUUAAGGAGUGAUUACUCCACCUCCUAAGUACCAUCCACACCCAGAUGUGCGACCCGGGAUCCACACAGCGAUGGAGCAGCAGGCGAGGACCCCUCAUCAGCGCUGGCCGCUGGGCGCCUCCUUGCCCAAGCUCCUGCUGCCGCCCACUGUGGGCUGCCGGUCUUCUCAGGUUUGUACCCCUUGCUCCCUGCGCUGCUUGUUCUGUGGGGCUGCAUAACCCUAAGCAUAAAACUCCCCUAGCCCUAACUGUGAUUGAAUGUGAGUAAAUAGAUAAAGAUGCUUCUUAGUUCCAGGACACUAGAUAAGAUCGUAUCAGCCAUAAUUAUCCAACUCUUUGUUCCGACACCACUAUCUACAGAACAAUCUACAAAGCAUCUGCUGACUAUCAGUACAUGUCAGGCUAAUUAACAUGCAAAUGUAAGACCACUAACCUUUGUUCCUUCUUCUGUAAAUUCUGCCUGUUAACUUCCCUGCAAGCCCCUAUAAAAAGAGCCUUGGACUCUGGACUGACACCUCUCUAAUCUACUCUGCUUUGGGAAUGCCCUCUGGCCAGACCAAGGUCUGUUUCACUUUCCAACUUGGGUGUGUUCCUUCCUGGGUGUUCUUCGCUGCAGUCAGCUCCUUGGAGCAUCUGGUAAGGCCCUUGGUCUUACAUUCUAGAGGCACCGCUGGGAUCCCUGGGUGUGCUUCACUAUAGUCAGCUCCUCAGAGCCUUUGGUAAGGAGAGCAGUCUUACAGUUCCUGCCGCACACUCUUGGGCCCCUAAUAAAAUAACAGCAGAGGCAUGUCCCGGGUGUGUCCUGGCCCGCAGCCUGGACUCUCCCGCUCAGCGAUCCCUGCGCUGGGCUGACUCCGGCAGCUGCCUUCUCCCUUGCUGAGGCCCGGUUUGCACACAAGCAGGUGCCCCCACUGCUGGCACUGUCUGACGGGCCUGGCAAAUGCGGGGAACGUGCGACCUGCAGUCAGAACUGGGGUUCUCAGCACCCACACAGUCAGGACCCGGCAGCCCCAGACCAUGGGCCUUCCUCUCCAAAGAGCUCAGCUCGGCCUCUGGAGUUCACACGCGGAGCCCACAGCUGGCUGCACAUGCGCCCCUUCCUGCAGCCACAGGGGUCUGACUCACCCACACACGGGCAUGGGAGCUGGGUCCCCUUCUCCUGGUGAGGGCCCGCCUGUGUGUACAGCCAGACCUCAGAACACUUCAGCCCAUACUCACCAAGUAUUGGAUUCACAGAUAAAAUCAACUAUGAUGUAGCCACUGGUAUUGGAAACAGUUCGUGAGCAGAAUGGACCCUGUGUGCCUUGUGGGGCUUACACGGAGAGAAUAUAGAAAAUAAUACGUAGUAAUAAGUAAAUCUAUAAUUGUGUUUGUUUCCUAGGGCUGCUAUAACAAAUCACUGUCGCUGGUGGCUUACGAUAGCAGAGUGAGUUCCUUCCACAGGCUCUGAGGGACCUUCGUUUGCUCCAUGACUAUCUCAUGGCUCCCAGUGGCUGCUGGUGAUCCUGCCAUUGUAUGUCUCAUAGCACAUCCAGUCUCUGUCUCGAGCUUCCCAUCACCAUCUUUUCUCCUUUGUCUCAUGCUGUCUUCUCCUUGUUGUUGGAUUUCAUGCCCUCCCUAGUCCAGUGUGCUCUUGUCUUGAGAUCUUUAAUUUAUUCAGGUCGAAUCCUGGGGCUGGGGGGACCUGUCCUUUGAGGACUGCCAUCCACACCCCAUGGGAUGUUAGAAGAAAGCACUGGAGUGGUGAUGGCAGCGAAGCACAAUGAGGAUGACCAGGGCCGCCCGGGCAGGGUGGGAGCAACCCUGGUGGGAGGCUCGGUGUUGGCCUCACCCAGGAGCCCCUGAACCGAGCCCACGAGGGAGGGGCCACCAGAGUAAAGACUGGGGUUCUCACUGGAGGGAAUGAGCAGCUCAGCAGGGUCAGGGCAGAGCAGUUAAACCGGGGACUGAACUCACGAUGUAGCCCAGGCUGGCCUCAAACUCACUGUGAUCCUCCUGGCUCAGCCUCCCCAGUGUGGGAAUUAUAGACACUUGCCAUCAAGACUGGCUUAAAAACUGAGAUAGUAUAAUCUCUGGAUGAAGAACUGAAGAAGGAGAAAGAGUGUGCUCUUGUGUCUGGUUUUUGAGACAGGGGGUCUCUAUGUAGUUCAGGCUGGUUUUGAACUCACUAUGUAACCCAGGCUGGCCCCGAACUCAUGGCGAUCCUCCUGCCUCAGCCUCCCGAGUGCUGGGAUGACAGGCCUGCGCCACCACACCCAAGAGAGUGCUCUUGAGCGCUGGAAAGCUUCUGUUUCUUUACCUGAGUGGAGCACAAGGGCCCUUGACUUGGAUUUGCUACACUGCACAUGUAUCUAUGCACUCUUCACAGGCAGUAGGCAAAGCUCUAGAGAAAGGGAGCAAAGCACAGCAGGCAGCAACAAGAGUGUGACUCGGGGUAGAAGGGGGAGCAACACCACAGGAAAGUUCUGGAAGGUGCCACUCCCAGGGACACAGCGGACAGAGCGCCGGGCAAGCAGGGAAGACUCGAGGCUCCUCAAGGCCACUGAAGAACAAUGCAACUUUCCCUGUGGACUCCAAACGUGCUCUAGAGAAGGAUUUGCUUAAAGGAAAAACCAGCGGGCCGAAAAUGAGGGGUUGAGGGAGGCAAAGGGCUACCCGGGCUGAGGGCGCCCACACCCUUCACCAGCGGAGGGACCCUCCCGGAAGGGUGGCCAUGCCACAGCCAUACGCAGGACAUCUCCACGCCCGGAACCUCUCCUGGGGGCCGUGCGCAUCAUGCUCAAAGCCCCAGAAACGGCCUGGGGGAGCAGCAGGUUUAAAAAGCCAGGGUGCCCCUGAGGGGUUGAACCUAGGGCCCUCGCACUGAGUUACAACCCAGCCCCUUUUUAUCUGAAACAAAAUCUCUCCACGUUGCUAAGUUGCCCAGGCUGGGCUCCAACUUGCAAUCCUCCUGCCUCAGCCUCCCGAGUGCUGGGAUGACACCACCUCACCUGGUUUGUUUGUUUUUUUGUUUUUAAAAUCCAGCCUUAGAGCCUGCAUUUCUCACAACUCCUGGUGCUGCCCAGGGCACUGGGCCAUAGCCCACAUUUUGAGGAUGAUGAGGUGAGAGAAACCGAAUACCCUCUGAACCUGGGUGCCCAGGCACAAAUUCCUCUCCUGGUGUGAAGCAGGCAACAAGCUCAGAACAGCCCAGCAGUCCCAGGCAGGCUCCCGGGGUCACAGAUGGGGGCCAGGGGCCCCCACGCACUUGCCGACCUUGGGAAAUAUUUUCACAGCAUGCCAACUGUUUCCCUCCGCAGGCAGGAUAAUCCCGAGAUUCUUGCUCCCAGCACAGAUUCGCGAGGGGAAGGAAUGAGUUUAGCCAAGACCAACAGGAAGCUGGACGGCCGCCCCAUGGCCAGGAGAAGCCAGGGGUUUCACCCCAGCUCCCUCUGCGCCUGUUGGCGCUGCUCCCCAGCCCACUGAACACGCCUACUUUGGAUUGCUGUGAACACGACCACCGUUCACCACUGGCCCGCCUGGCGACUGCCUCUCCACACUGCGUCCUGUCCCAGAGGUGGGCGCUUGCAGGAGAGGACUCGGUGGCUGCACUUCCUGUCCUCCCCUGUGAGUCUCAGGAAGCUUGAGCAUCCCCAGUGGGUCCCAGGAAGACAUAGAUUCAAACAUUUAUCUGAACGUCUCCCAACUGCCGAUGGCUGCACGGCCUGCAGGCUUUCUGCUUCCUUUCACUUCCUCUCCUCCCAAGUCCUCUGGUGCCUCUGUCCCUGUCACGUCCCAGGGGAUGCGGGACGGGAAGCCGCCCUGGCCUGGAGCUGUGGCCCGGUCCUGGUUCUGUGGCUGCCACCUCAUCUUCCUUCCCCAUCUUCCUGGGCACUCUGUGCCUCUGGCCGAUUUGCCAGGUGUCCUAUUGCUUGGAAGUGUUCAGGGGAAAGUCAGGACCGCCCAAGGCAGGCUGUGAGGAGCUAACCCCACGACUGGUUGUUUAUAGCAGUGAGCCUGGCCGAAGCCUACGUGCCCAGGUCAGAGUAACUCGCACCCAAACCCCGUUCCCACAACUAAAACCUUCAGACUAGAAGGACAAUGUUCUAAUUACAACCAUAUAUUUUGUGUAUUCUGUUCCUGAUUAGAGAACACUUUAUUUUGUCCUUUAUGGGCCUUGUUUACCUUAAUUUCCAUAGAACCUGCACGUGGCUCACCUUUCACCCAAUUGAUUGCCUGGGACUGGCCAGGGCCUGUGUCGGUUGCACUGGCAUUGGUUGUCCUGGCCCCGCUUUCUCUCCUAGCUCUGUCUCUUAGUGUAUUUAUUUCUCAGGCCUGCAUCGCACACUGGGCAGGUGGGGACUAGGAACUUACUGCAGGAAUCUGGCAGUUCGGCACAUGUAAAAUGUGAGCUCAGAAAGGUAUGAAACACGGAAGGUAUGGGUUUCUUCACAGAAUUCAUCUAUGACAAAGACAGCUGAUUGUCAAAGCAAAUCUAAAAUGCGCGCGUGUGUGUGUGUGUGUGUGUGUGUGUGUGUGUGUGUGUGUGUGUACCUGGCUGCUGAAAAUCUCUUGAGCUGAGGGGGAUCAUUUGUUGAUGUAAGGAUUUUUUCUGUGCAAUUUUCUGUGUCUCAUGAUGAAAAGUAACAGAAAAGUGGACAUGGCUACAAUGUAUCAGUCUGGUCACUUCCCAGAGUUCCCAUCACUACCACUACAGAGACCCUUGGGGCGUGGGGCACAGUCCUCACUUCCAAGCGCCUUGUGCCUGGGCUGCACAUGGGGGACACAGGAAGUGGGAGGCACGGGCCACCCUCCAGCUCUCUGUGGGCCUCACAACUUCCAUGGUCACUGGGGCAGGGACGUGGGAGAAGGAGAGGCCAGAACCUGGGCUGGGACCCCAAGCCGGGUGUGGGGAGUAGGAGGCCCCACAGGGCCUGGCCCCCGCCGCUCCUGUCCAGGACAGCGGGGGUCCCGCGCCGCGGGUGGCAGGAGGCUGAGGAGCAAUGCAAGGAGCAGGGCAAAGGUGGCCGGAGGGAGCCAGGCGGAACCAGGCAAGCAUGAGGCCCAGGCCAGCGAGGGGGGACAGAGCCGGGGAGGGACAGCAUCAGAGCCGAGUGCGGAGAGCAGAUUCUGGGGCUCAGCAGGCAGAAAGGCGGCUGUGCAGGAGGGAGCCCUGGAGACCCCGUGGGGAUGGAGCCACCUUCGGCUCAGCUGGCCUCCCUGGCCAAGGAUGAAGAGCCGCAGCCCUGGGGGAGCCUGGGGGGCCCUGGUCAGCGCCCCAAGACGAGGAGGGGAGCAGAGGACAUGGAGUCUGGGGCCAAGGAGGAGGCGCGGAGAACUCAUUGACGAGAACAGAGCUUACAACAGAGCGCGGAGGGAGUAACACCUUCUUUCUGUCUAUGAUUCAGCAGCUUGCUUGCAUUUAUCUAUUUCUUCAUUUAUUUUGGAGGUACCGGAGAAUGAACCACAGCCUCAGUACUGAGCUCCAUCCCCAGCCCUUUUAAUGUUUUUAUUUUGAGACAGCAUCUUGCUACGUUGCCCAGCUUGGGCUUGACCUCGUGCUCCUCCUGCCUCGGCCUCCCAGAAAGCUGGGAUUGCAAGUGACUCACCAACACUAAACAGGCAUCCCUAUCAAAUCAAAGCUCAGGGACCCAGCACAAGAAGGCCCUGGACUGCGGCUGGUGUCCUCAUGGUCCCAUGCGCUGCUGGAAGCCGGGGUUCAUGUGAACUCGCUCACCGUGCGGCCAGUCCGUGGCUUCCUUCCUCCUGCAGUGCCCUCGGCCUCUUAGCUGAGCUCUUACUCGGGCCGGUGGGAGGUGAGGCUCUCAGUUCGCUCCACUGAGCCCUUCCUUGCAGGAGUGUGUGAGGGGAAGCUGUGUCCUUUCCCCUACACAGGAGGAACAGGCUCAGAGGUUCAGCGCCUUCUGAGUCACACGGGGAAGUAGGGCGAGUCGGGGCACAAACUAUACCCUGGGUUACGUAAGACUGCUGGGCUCCAGCCGCGUCACCCUGCGGGCCCAGAGCAACCUGAGGCCUCAUCCUGGCCUGGCCUGGCCCCGGCACCCGGCAGGCGUCCCCUGCCCUGCAUACAUGCCCUGUCCGCUUCUGGGAGCCUCGGGUCCCUCCGCCUCGGUUGUUCCUGGGUCUCAGUCUGACACAUGGGGAUCAAAACACGUGGCGGCGGUGAUUGUUCACAUGUUUAAGGAUCUAUUGCAGUAGAAGCCACUGCCAUAAUUCUCCUUGGAGCACCCGUCGCUUCCAACGCAGGAUCCUGUCGCUAUUGCUCCUCUCUGCAGCCGCUCUGGAAGCUUCUUUCAUGGGUGUGUUUACAAGGAGUGAUCAAAAACAGGCCGACUGCUGCCGCCCAGCGCCAUGCGAUGGAGGUGGGACGUAACAGCGGGCCUGGGCCCUCACCCUCCUCAUUCAUGGAGCUGGCGCCGGGCGCCGGGUGACGGGUGACGGGUGACGGAGGCAGCAAGAACCGGGCAGCUAGAGACGUUCAGGAGAGAGGGCUCCAGAGGGGCUGCAGGAGCGGCACCCUAAGGACCAGGGAUUUCGAAGGAGGGGGGAGGAUCCGCCUUGUGUCUCUUACGGUGAUAAACUUAAAUUUAAUAAAUGUCAUAAGCGUAAAUUUAGUCCUCCGCGGGCCGUGUGACCUUGCCCUCCGCCAAGGGCAACCAGCUGGGCCCCGUGGCUCCCAGCCCCGCGCGCCCGGGGGCGGUGGCCCGGCC